rnacentral:rRNA from 8 species
CCCACCUGACCCCAUGCCGAACUCAGAAGUGAA